GAUGAACGCUGGCGGCGUGCCUAAUACAUGCAAGUCGAGCGAACGGACGAGAAGCUUGCUUCUCUGAUGUUAGCGGCGGACGGGUGAGUAACACGUGGAUAACCUACCUAUAAGACUGGGAUAACUUCGGGAAACCGGAGCUAAUACCGGAUAAUAUUUUGAACCGCAUGGUUCAAAAGUGAAAGACGGUCUUGCUGUCACUUAUAGAUGGAUCCGCGCUGCAUUAGCUAGUUGGUAAGGUAACGGCUUACCAAGGCAACGAUGCAUAGCCGACCUGAGAGGGUGAUAGGCCACACGGGAACUGAGACACGGUCCAGACUCCUACGGGAGGCAGCAGUAGGGAAUCUUACGCAAUGGGCGAAAGCCUGACGGAGCAACGCCGCGUGAGUGAUGAAGGUCUUCGGAUCGUAAAACUCUGUUAUUAGGGAAGAACAUAUGUGUAAGUAACUGUGCACAUCUUGACGGUACCUAAUCAGAAAGCCACGGCUAACUACGUG
rnacentral:rRNA from 1 species